AUUGAACGCUGGCGGCAUGCCUUACACAUGCAAGUCGAACGGCAGCACGGGUGCUUGCACCUGGUGGCGAGUGGCGAACGGGUGAGUAAUACAUCGGAACGUACCUUAUCGUGGGGGAUAACGCAGCGAAAGCUGUGCUAAUACCGCAUACGCCCUGAGGGGGGAAAGCGGGGGAUCGAAAGACCUCGCGCGAUUAGAGCGGCCGAUGCCUGAUUAGCUUGUUGGUGGGGUAAAAGCCCACCAAGGCGACGAUCAGUAGCUGGUCUGAGAGGACGAUCAGCCACACUGGGACGGAGACACGGCCCAGACGCCUACGGGAGGCAGCAGUGGGGAAUGUUGGACAAUGGGGGCAACCCUGAUCCAGCAAUGCCGCGUGAGUGAAGAAGGCCUUCGGGUUGUAAAGCUCUUUUGUCAGGGAAGAAACACCGGCUCUAACACAGUCCGGGAAUGACGGUACCUGAAGAAUAAGCACCGGCUAACUACGUGCCAGCAGCCGCAGUAA
rnacentral:rRNA from 1 species